rnacentral:rRNA from 1 species
GAUGAACGCUGGCGGCGUGCUUAACACAUGCAAGUCGAACGGUGAAGGCGGAGCUUGCUCUGCUGGCUCAGUGGCGAACGGGUGAGUAACACGUGAGCAAUCUGCCCCUGACUCUGGGAUAAGCGCUGGAAACGGCGUCUAAUACUGGAUACGAGCUGCGAAGGCAUCUUCAGCAGCUGGAAAGCACUUCGGUCAGGGAUGAGCUCGCGGCCUAUCAGCUUGUUGGUGAGGUAACGGCUCACCAAGGCGUCGACGGGUAGCCGGCCUGAGAGGGUGACCGGCCACACUGGGACUGAGACACGGACCAGACUCCUACGGGAGGCAGCAGUGGGGAAUAUUGCACAAUGGGCGAAAGCCUGAUGCAGCAACGCCGCGUGAGGGACGACGGCCUUCGGGUUGUAAACCUCUUUUAGCAGGGAAGAAGCGAAAGUGACGGUACCUGCAGAAAAAGCGCCGGCUAACUACGUG